CCUACGGGUGGCAGCAGUGGGGAAUAUUGGGCAAUGGGCGCAAGCCUGACCCAGCAACGCCGCGUGAAGGAAGAAGGCUUUCGGUGUGUAAACCUCUUUUAAGGGGGAAGAACAUGAGACGGUACCCCUUGCAUAAGCCACGGCUAACUACGUCCCAGCAGCCGCGGUAAUACGUAGGUGGCAAGCGUUGUCCGGAUUUACUGGGUGUAAAGGGCGUGCAGCCGGAGAGACAAGUCCGUUGUGAAAUCCACGGGCUCAACCCGUGAACUGCAUUUGAAACUGUUUCCCUUGAGUGGCGGAGAGGUAAUCGGAAUUCCUGGUGUAGCGGUGAAAUGCGUAGAUAUAAGGAAGAACACCAGUGGCGAAGGCGGAUUACUGGACGGUAACUGACGGUGAGGCGCGAAAGCGUGGGGAGCAAACAGGAUUAGAUACCCGAGUAGUC
rnacentral:rRNA from 1 species